rnacentral:rRNA from 1 species
UGGGGAAUUUUGGACAAUGGGCGAAAGCCUGAUCCAGCAAUGCCGCGUGUGUGAAGAAGGCCUUCGGGUUGUAAAGCACUUUUGUCCGGAAAGAAAUCCUUGGCUCUAAUACAGUCGGGGGAUGACGGUACCGGAAGAAUAAGCACCGGCUAACUACGUGCCAGCAGCCGCGGUAAUACGUAGGGUGCAAGCGUUAAUCGGAAUUACUGGGCGUAAAGCGUGCGCAGGCGGUUUGCUAAGACCGAUGCGAAAUCCCCGGGCUCAACCUGGGAACUGCAUUGGUGACUGGCAGGCUAGAGUAUGGCAGAGGGGGGUAGAAUUCCACGUGUAGCAGUGAAAUGCGUAGAGAUGUGGAGGAAUACCGAUGGCGAAGGCAGCCCCCUGGGCCAAUACUGACGUUCAUGCACGAAAGCGUGGGGAGCAAACAGGAUUAGAUACCCUGGUAGUCCACGCCCUAAACGAUGUCAACUAGUUGUUGGGGAUUCAUUUCCUUAGUAACGUAGCUAACGCGUGAAGUUGACCGCCUGGGGAGUACGGUCGCAAGAUUAAAACUUAAAGGAAUUGACGGGGUCAUAGCUG